rnacentral:rRNA from 1 species
GUCUGGGGCCAUGCCAUCCUGAACUCACCUGAUCUAGUCUGAUCUCAGAAGCAAUGCAGAGUAGUCCCUGGUAAGUAUGUGUUUGGGAGACCACCUGGGAACACCAGAUGCAGUGGGCU